UUUUUACAUAUACCCUAGAAUGUUGUUUCUCGAGUCGGCAAUUUGCCACUGGUGAGUUCGGCUUGCGGAGCGGUCUGCAACGCUUACACGAGCACCAAAGACAGCGUGCCCAUGCUGAAGGGAGUGAUGGAUGCGGCCGAAAGUGGCGUGCGAACCCUCGGAGCGGCUGCCGCCACCGGAUCCAAGCCUCUUUUGCACAUCAUUGAACCACAACUGGCAACAGUGAAUGAAUACGCCAUGAAAGGGCUGGAUAAGAUGGAGGAGAAGCUGCCUAUUCUUCAACGGCCAGCGGAAAAGGUCAGAAAGGAAUUUUGCCCAAAACAUUCUGACCCAUUUUUGUCCUAGUUGGUGUGGCUGGUGAUUAUAGUCAUGACUUCAAAUGAUGGUUACAAAAUAGUAAAGACACAAUUUGGGGA